GAUUGACCUCGGAUCAGGUAGGGAUACCCGCUGAACUUAAGCAUAUCAAUAAGCGGAGGAAAAGAAACCAACAGGGAUUGCCUCAGUAACGGCGAGUGAAGCGGCAACAGCUCAAAUUUGAAAUCUGGUCCUUUCAGGCCCCGAGUUGUAAUUUGUAGAGGAUGUUUCGGGCGCGGCGCGGGUCUAAGUCCUUUGGAACAGGGCGUCAGAGAGGGUGAGAAUCCCGUAUGCGACCCGUGGCCAACCCCAUCUGAAACCCCUUCGACGAGUCGAGUUGUUUGGGAAUGCAGCUCAAAAUGGGUGGUAAAUUUCAUCUAAAGCUAAAUACCGGCCAGAGACCGAUAGCGCACAAGUAGAGUGAUCGAAAGAUGAAAAGCACUUUGGAAAGAGAGUCAAACAGUACGUGAAAUUGUUGAAAGGGAAGCGCUUGCGACCAGACCUGCCCGCGGGCGAUCAACCCCCGUUCUCGGGGGUGCACUCGUCCGCGAUCAGGCCAGCAUCGGUUCGGGCGGUCGGAUAAAGGCCUUGGGAAUGUAGCUUCCUCCGGGGAGUCUUAUAGCCCUCGGUGCAAUGCGGCCAGCCCGGACCGAGGACCGCGCUUCGGCUAGGAUGCUGGCGUAAUGGUCGUAAGCGACCCGUCUUGAAACACGGACCAAGGAGUCUAACAUCUAUGCAAGUGUUUGGGUGUGAAACCCAUGCGCGGAAUGAAAGUGAACGGAGGUGAGAACCCUCAAGGGCGCAUCAUCGACCGAUCCAGAUGUCUUCGGAUGGAUUUGAGUACGAGCAUAGCUGUUGGGACCCGAAAGAUGGUGAACUAUGCCUGAAUAGGGUGAAGCCAGAGGAAACUCUGGUGGAGGCUCGCAGCGGUUCUGACGUGCAAAUCGAUCGUCAAAUUUGGGUAUAGGGGCGAAAGACUAAUCGAACCAUCUAGUAGCUGGUUCCUGCC
rnacentral:rRNA from 1 species